rnacentral:lncRNA from 1 species
CUAACGGCGCAAACCGCGAUCAGGCCACGGGUCCUCAGCCUCCCCUGGCCGCUGCAGUCUGUAAAGCGUGACUUUUGCAAUGGGACAGGAUCCUUCAGGAGGUCCUGAGCCACUGGAAUACUCAGAGCCUGGGGACCUGUGUGACAGGAUGGAGGAGGGAUUUCUACGUUGAGCCGGAGGGUGGACGGUUUCUUUCUAGGGCCCUUAUGUCUCUGAGGGCGUGUGGCUACUGGGACCACCUUAGACUCUGCCCCAGGGGGGCUGUUAUUGGCCAUCUAGGGCUCCUCGGGUGUCACCUUUGGGGCUGAUGUCUGCUUCAUGUCAGGUCUACCCCCAGCACUUUGCCACAGACCUGAUCCGCGUUACUCCCAGAAAGGGCCCAACUUCAGCUCAGAGAAUUCCUACAGUCUGGCCCCUUCAGAUCACCCCCUUUCUCUUUGCCCCACUUGCUUGGCUCCCAGUCUUGGUUCCCCCUUCCCAUUUUGCCCCUUUUGGAUUUGCUGACCCUAGCAUGGGCCCACACAUCCACAGGACCCUGCUUCUGCUACAGGACUCUCAGCCGCCGGCCCUGCAGCCCUGGGCACAAGACACUGCGCUUCCUCUCCUAGUCAGAUGUCUAAGACUUCACUGCCCAUCCCUGUCCUGGAGGACUCAGACUCUCUUGGACAGAAAUCUACGUCCCCGUGAAAUGCUGCCGUGUCUUUCUGAAAGACAAGGUGGGAGAGUUCUCCAUCCCAAUGAUGCAAAGUCGGUUUCCUAAGAACAUCUGUUGCAACUGGACCAUCUGGACCAGCCCCUAAAACCACAUUACUGUCUGUGUCAGUGGGUUUAGGGUCGUGGGAAACGAUGAGUGUGGGGCAAAAUUGUGUUUUAGGGGCUGUCCUCUGUGGUAGAAAGCAGCAUGGUCUAUGCCUGUUGGAAGAAGAGGGUGCACAUUCAUGCCACCCAAGCUCUCGCUGCGCAAGUGGUCUUGCUAUCUAAGAAUUAUGCUGGAGGCAGGAGAUAUAGGCAUUUCAGGCGGAAGUAUUAUAUCUCCCAAGACCCCAGAGCAGAUUCAGGGGAAAAGAUCAUGAAUCUUCAGGUUACAAGAAUCCCAUCCCAUGUCAAAGAACUUCCUCCAAACCCACUGUUAGCACCACUGGGCCAAAGACCCAAGCUGAGAAGAAGCUUGGAGUCUCCAGAAUUUCUGUGCUCCAUUUGAUUAAGCUAAGCUCUCUCAUGUUAUUUAUUAAGCCGGCAUCAGACAACAUCCUGGCUGCCAGAUUGCUAGAAAUAAGUGAGAAAGAUCUUUGGAAAACAGCCUCUGCCCCAGCCCAAGUAGAAAUAGCAGUCUUUGAUACCAGGUGGCCAGAAAUCCCAGAAAAAAGAAUCCUUUCCUGGCCCUCAGGCAACAGAUAAGCCCUUUCCAACCUCUGUGGUGGCCUCUGAACAAGCAGUUUGGAAGCAGUUUAGUCUUCUCUUGUAGAGUAAGGAAGGCUGGAGAGCUCUUCAGAGGAUGGGCCAGCCACAAGACCAACCCCUGUGGACUUGUGGGGAUCAGUUAACCACUCGUAUUUGGGAUUAUGGGAAAAGGCUACACUCUGGGAGAAGCAGCAUUUUCUCUCAGCCCUUCUCAGGUGGUGGAGAGCAUUCCUAGAGGAAACAAGCAAUUACCUGAACAAACAAGUCUUACCUGGUGAAACCUCAUUCCUAUGGGACAAGUCUGGGGCAGGCUUGGCCACUGAGGUCCAACUGUCCCUGGAAGGCAGGCCAUAUCCUGU